AAAGCUUUGCCCUGGUGAGAUAUUUGGACAUUCAAGACACUGAGGGGAACAUACUGUUUGGCUGCAAGUAACCGCUACAAUAGUGGAGAUUGCCAAGAUACAGGAAGAGACACGAUGGCAGUUCUGCAGGCUGCACUGUUUGUCCUUAUGUUGAUGACCGCAACACAAUCUAAACCUGUCUACCAAAAUGUUGAAGAGGAUUCAUCCGAAACUUCCGAGGCUGACUCAUCAGAAGAGAUUCCUGCUCAGUCCCAGCAGCCAGAGCUAACAGGCACAUUAAUGCCUAAUGCUGUGGAGGAAGAUGACUCUAUGGAGACCGAACAAGAACAAGAAGAGUCUGAAACCUCUGCUGACAGCAGUACCCCUGAAACUACCCAAGAAAUAGAAGUUCCUCUGAAUGGAUCCAACCCUGAAGCUGCAGGUCUGCAGGUUCUGCCAGAUGCAGAAGCCUCACCACAGCCUCAAGUUAAUGUUAAUGAUGUAAGUUCUACCAAAGACCUGCUGACUGUCACCACGACACCACUUCCAUUCUCCCAAACUAUGCCCUUUGUAAUCCCCAUUGGAGCAACCCUUGCUGGGACCCCUGUUUGUUUUACUGUGCAGCUCACAACUCCUGAAACAGCACCACUGAGAGGUGACAGCUACUGAUCCCAACUGAGUUUAUACUAUUGUUUUAUAAAAUCUGUCUCGUUUUGUUGUGCAUGCAAACUCCCAUGUGAAUAUUACUGUAAUGGUAAGAGAAAAAAGCAUGUGAGCCCUUUGGGCUGCUUGCCAAGCAUGACAUCAGCAUUGCUCACCCUUACUUGGAUUUCUGUCUAAAUUGGAGAGAAAAUGUGUUCUGAUCUUCAAGUAAGUCACAACAGUAAAAAAACAGUCUUUCUAAGCCAGGGCUGGGCAAACUUUUUGAUUCAUGGGCCACAAAUGGUUCUAGAAUUAUAUUAAGGGCUGGACCAGGAGCAAAUGCAUGGAGUAUUUUGAUAAUCAAUCUCUUGAGAGAAAGAAAUAACAUGGGAUCCGAAUGAAAACAUGCUUUAAUUUAUGUUUAUAUAUUUGUUGGUUUAUGCUGGAUUCAUGUGGUGUUGGAAUUUUGGGAAAAAUGCCUGUCCAACGUGGAGAACACACAUGAACUUCAGAAAAACAACAAAAUCAUCCAACACCACAUGAAGGUAGAAUAACUUUUUUCUGGACCUAAACAAAGGUUUUUGUAUUUUUAUGUGCCAUCUAUGGUUAGACACCAGCAUCACAGGGAAAAUAAAACAUUAAUAAGGAUUAUCAAUGUUAAUGUAUAGAAGUUUGAUGGACCACAUUAAAUCAUUUAACAGGCCACAAUGACCCCUGGGCCAUAGUUUGCCCAUCCUUGGUCUAAGCUAUUACCAAACAUGCCGUGCUGUUUUAGUUAGACACAACGUGCAAAAUUCAUUGGUCAGGGUGGUAACACCCUGUUAAAAUUUGGGGUUUUAAAACUGGUUGAUUCUCCCAUUGGGGGAGAUGACCUCAACCAAACAUUUUGUGAAAUCACAAUCAAGAGUAUUUUCUAAUCAUUUGUUUUUAUAAAACUGUUUAAGUGAAUCUAUGGUCUUGGGAUAUCUAUGGUGGGGAAUCAUACUCUUGAGGUUAUGCCACUGCAUCUCAGUCAAGCCAAGGUCAGGACUCUGGUUGAGCCUGUUUUGAAGAUGUAUUUUCUUCUGUGCAUUUACUUCUUUAAUUUUAGUUUUUUAUUCUGCUCCGCAUCCUGUCUAGCUUCAGUUGGUCUAAAGCUGUUCUGCAAAAUGGUUUGGCAAUACUUGGGAAGCAUUUUUACAAUAACAAUCUGUCCAGGUAAAGCAGCCCCUAACCAUGACGCUUCCUCCACCUCAAUUCACAGUCGUAUAUUUGCAGCACUGUGCUAUUUACAAACUCAAUUUGAGCUUCACCUGUCCACAGAAUGCUUUUUCUGGUAGAUGUUCUUUUACAAAACGUAAUUUUAAAGUUAAAGUCUCAUUAGUUGUCAAGCACCUAUUGUGUGAAAUUUGUUCUCCACAUUUGACCCAUCCCCUGGGGGAGCAGUGAGCUGCAGACAGCCGCACUCGGGAACCAUUUGGAGGUUUAACCCACCAAUCCAACCCCUUUAAGUUCAGUGAUAAGCAGGGAGGCACAGGUUUUUGGUAUGACUCGGCCUGGAUUUGAAUUCACAACCUUCCAGUCCCAGGGCAGACACUUUACCACAGGGCCACUGAGCUGAUUUUUGUUGGAAUGUUUUUUUUCUUCCUCUUUAGUUUUCCUUCUAUAAACUCUCUUCCUUGUUUUGUUAAUGAGUUUUCGACAGAAAAUCUGUAGAAUGACAUGAUCAUGAUCAUCCAGGCUUUUAAAGAUCAACGGCAACCAUUGAAAUGAAAUCACGCUUAAAUGAAUUGUUAUCCACAACUAGCUGUAUUAAAAGGAUUACUUUUUGAAAACACAUUUUAAAACUAUUUUUCACCAAAUAGAAUAUCAAAACAUGUUUUUCCUUUUCUUUCUCUGGGUGGGUUAUUAAAAGGGUUAAAUACAGCAAAAGAUCAAUCUGUUUAACAUAUGAGCACUCGUGUAAAAUGUUAUGAUUUACAUUCAUUUAGAACUGAAUG